rnacentral:rRNA from 1 species
AAGUGGUACGCGAGCUGGGUUUAGAACGUCGUGAGACAGUUCGGUCCCUAUCUGCCGUGGGCGCUGGAGAAUUGAGGGGGCUGCUCCUAGUACGAGAGGACCGGAGUGGACGCAUCACUGGUGUUCGGGUUGUCAUGCCAAUGGCACUGCCCGGUAGCUAAAUGCGGAAGAGAUAAGUGCUGAAAGCAUCUAAGCACGAAACUUGCCCCGAGAUGAGUUCUCCCUGAGACUUUAAGUCUCCUGAAGGAACGUUGAAGACGACGACGUUGAUAGGCCGGGUGUGUAAGCGCAGCGAUGCGUUGAGCUAACCGGUACUAAUGAACCGUGAGGCUUAACCUUACAACGCCGAAG